rnacentral:rRNA from 1 species
UACGUAGGGUGCGAGCGUUGUCCGGAAUUAUUGGGCGUAAAGAGCUUGUAGGUGGUUUGUCGCGUCUGCUGUGAAAAUCCGAGGCUCAACCUCGGACUUGCAGUGGGUACGGGCAGACUAGAGUGGUGGUAGGGGAGACUGGAAUUCCUUGGUGUAGCGGUGAAAUGCGCAGAUAUCAGGAGGAACACCGAUGCGAAGGCAGGUCUCUGGGCAUUAACUGACGCUGGAGGAGCGAAAGCAUGGGGAGCGAACAGGA